rnacentral:rRNA from 1 species
CGGCCUUGACAUACUAAGAACUUUCCAGAGAUGGAUUGGUGCCUUCGGGAACUUAGAUACAGGUGCUGCAUGGCUGUCGUCAGCUCGUGUCGUGAGAUGUUGGGUUAAGUCCCGCAACGAGCGCAACCCUUUUCCUAUUUGCCAGCGGGUCAUGCCGGGAACUUUAAGGAUACUGCCAGUGACAAACUGGAGGAAGGCGGGGACGACGUCAAGUCAUCAUGGCCCUUACGGCCAGGGCUACACACGUGCUACAAUGGUCGGUACAAAGGGUUGCUACCUCGCGAGAGGAUGCUAAUCUCAAAAAAGCCGAUCGUAGUCCGGAUCGCAGUCUGCAACUCGACUGCGUGAAGUCGGAAUCGCUAGUAAUCGCGGAUCAGAAUGCCGCGGUGAAUACGUUCCCGGGCCUUGUACACACCGCCCGUCACACCAUGGGAGUUUGUUGCACCAGAAGUAGGUAGUCUAACCGCAAGGAGGACGCUUACCACGGUGUGGCCGAUGACUGGGGUGAAGUCGUAACAAGGUAGGCGUAGAUGA